GCCCUUAUGGCGUAGUGGUAGCGCGUCGCACUUGUACUAUCUGACAUGGUUAGUCAUGCGAAGGUCUCUAGUUCAAUCCUGGAUGGGGGCA